UACGUAGGGUGCAAGCGUUAAUCGGAAUUACUGGGCGUAAAGCGUGCGCAGGCGGUUUUGUAAGUCUGUCGUGAAAGCUCCGGGCUCAACCUGGGAAUUGCGAUGGAGACUGCAAGGCUAGAAUCUGGCAGAGGGGGGUAGAAUUCCACGUGUAGCAGUGAAAUGCGUAGAGAUGUGGAGGAACACCGAUGGCGAAGGCAGCCCCCUGGGUCAAGAUUGACGCUCAUGCACGAAAGCGUGGGGAGCAAACAGG
rnacentral:rRNA from 1 species